GCGUGAUGCUCUAGUGGUUAGUGGAAGGGAUUCUGGGUCAUCUGGCCUGGGUUCGAGUCCCAGACCAGGCA